CGUUAAAUUGUCUAAUUGAUAUUCAUAAGCCAGGUCUUCGCCAUUGGAGGGCUACUAAGCAGCGUCAUUAAUAUUCAGAAACACAAGCAUUCACCAUGGCCAGGAAGCAAGACAACGUCGUUGCGUCGAUCCAGUAAUAUUCGUGAACUCGGCGUAAGCCGUUGGAUAGUGACCAGGCAACGUCAGCGCGUCCUAAUUAAUAUUCAUGACAAAGGCCAUCGCCAUAGUAGGGUUCGUAAUGUCGCCGAACCGGGCGGCUUCAGACGUGCUCGAUGAUGAUAUCGAUGAAAUAAUCCCUCAGCUUCGAAACGCUACACGUGUGUCUUUCCUUCAUCGAGUAUAACGGGGUGAUGAUGAUGAUGAUGUCACGAGAUUCUGGGAUUAUAAACACUGACACACUGAACCGGUUCCGAAGCUUCAGCGUUCAGAAUCAGAACCACCAGAUCCUGUUUGUUUAGAAGCGACGAGGAUUCUAAACAAACGCUGCGAUGACACGUGACGUGAAAAGUCUAGCAGCGGGCGUCACUGGUGCAUGAUGGGAAGGCCUGACGUCAGCUGACACAGCAGGGAAACAGUUAACCUGCUCACACCUGAGAUUCUCCACACGGUUCAUCUCAUCUCAAGAGCUUCGCUGACGCCGUUUCUGCCACAGAAUAACACAGUAAAACAGUAAUUGUGUCGUUCCGUGUCAAAUCGGCCAGAGCUCCCCGACUCCCCGAGUUUUGAUUUUGUUCAUAUUUUUUUCCUGUACAAAGACAAACAUCAAUAAUGAUGAAAGCUGAAAAUGGUCAUUUUGACCCUCUUAUUCAGUAAAUAUACAUCUGUGACAUUUAAUAUUUUGGCUUUCAUCACUAUUUAUCAAAACUUUGAGUCGGGGAAGUUUCUGAAAUUUGGUAGAUUUGACACGGAAUGACCCAAUUCUGACUUUUUAUCUCACAAUUCUGACUUUUUAUCUCACAAUUCAGACUUUUUUUUUAGAAUUACUAGAAACAAACUCACAAAAGCGAGAAAAAAGUCAGAAUUGCGAGAUAAAAAGCUUCCAUAUUUUCCUACUUUUCACUUUUGAUUAAACUUUAUUAAUGGAAAAACUGUUGAUUAUGAUGCAAAUGAUGCUUCAACAAUUUCUGAAUGUAUUUCAAGAAAUAAAUGUUGAAUUGGAUUA